AGUGAACGCUGGCGGUAGGCCUAACACAUGCAAGUCGAACGGCAGCACAGUAAGAGCUUGCUCUUACGGGUGGCGAGUGGCGGACGGGUGAGGAAUACAUCGGAAUCUACUUUUUCGUGGGUGAUAACGUAGGGAAACUUACGCUAAUACCGCAUACGACCUACGGGUGAAAGCAGGGGAUCUUCGGACCUUGCGCGAUUGAAUGAGCCGAUGUCGGAUUAGCUAGUUGGCGGGGUAAAGGCCCACCAAGGCGACGAUCCGUAGCUGGUCUGAGAGGAUGAUCAGCCACACUGGAACUGAGACACGGUCCAGACUUCUACGGGAGGCAGCAGUGGGGAAUAUUGGACAAUGGGCGCAAGCCUGAUCCAGCCAUACCGCGUGGGUGAAGAAGGCCUUCGGGUUGUAAAGCCCUUUUGUUGGGAAAGAAAAGCAGCAGGUUAAUACCCCGCUGUUCUGACGGUACCCAAAGAAAAAGCACCGGCUAACUUCGUG
rnacentral:rRNA from 1 species